UGUACUAAAGAAUUGAGCAUUAUUUCUUAUGGAUUGUCAUAGUGUUGUUCAUGAUCUCCAAUAGUAUGAUCAGAUCAAUAUAAAGUGUGGCUUCUAUUUUUUAACAGGCUGUCAUAUUGAACUGUUACAAUGUUUAUAUUGGUUAGUGUUGACUCAUAUGAAACUAUCGCCCAGUGUUUAUAGUGUUUAGUGUUAAAACACCUACCUGAUGGUUAGGUGGAUAUUUGAUGAAAGCAGGAACUUUAAUGUACAUAGACAACCUAAGACCGCAGAGGAAUGUCUCACCUAAAAGUUGGACCAUUUUUCUUAUUUGGAUUUUGUAAAUUUUCUGAAGAUGCAAAUUUCACCAUCCAGUUGAUGGGUCUGCACCUGAUUCCAUUUCAAAGUGGGAGCCUUCUCAGCAAUCUGUGAUGCUUACUCUUGCUGGCCUUCCAAGGAGAGAGGACACAUCACGGGGCGGACGCGAAGGCCUUCAUAGGUAGAGCAGAGCGAGGUCGAUACGGUGGCCAGGCAUGGUCUAGAGAACUGGUGGCUGGUGGUGCGCGAGUUGGAGGCGAGGUGACGUCAUUGACCAAGACGCCUCGUAUAUCCUCAUCUCGUGCCUCCGGGAGAGGAGCUCAUCGAGGAUCCCCUCUUCUCCAUGGAUCCACGAUAGAGGGUCAUAUAUGGAGGAGUGGAUUUGAAAGGAAAGAAUUCCAAUUAGUUGCUUUUGAGGAUGUUCCCGAGGCACUAAAGAACUGGUAGUCUCAUCGUAUGACGGUAUGUAUCUAUUUGGUCAUCAUGUAUAUUGUGUAAACAUAAAAUGAUGCACUGAAUGCACUGCGCUCUUUCCAAUUUUUAUUGUGUC